GUUAGGAAUAUUGGACAAUGGGCGAAAGCCUGAUCCAGCCAUGCCGCGUGAACGAUGAAGGCCUUCGGGUUGUAAAGUUCUUUAGCCGAUGAUUAUAAUGACUGUAGUCGGAAAAUAAGCCCCGGCUAACUUCGUGUCAGCAGCCGCGGUAAUACGAAGGGGGCGAGCGUUAUUCGGAAUCACUGGGCGUAAAGCGUGCGUAGGCGGUUUUGUAAGUUAGGAGUGAAAGCCCAGGGCUCAACCUUGGAAUUGCUCUUAAAACUGCAAGGCUCGAAUCUCGGAGAGGAUAGCGGAAUUUCCAGUGUAGCAGUGAAAUGCGUAGAUAUUGGAAGGAACACCAGUGGCGUAAGCGGCUAUCUGGACGAGUAUUGACGCUGAGGCACGAAAGCGUGGGGAUCAAACAGGAUUAGAAACCCUUGUAGUCC
rnacentral:rRNA from 1 species